GAUUCGUAGGUGACCUGCGGAGGAUCAUUAUUGAAUAAGCUUGGUUGGGUUGUUGCUGGCUCUCCGGAGCAUGUGCACGCCUGACAACCAACCUUUUACCACCUGUGCACCUUUUGUAGACCUGGAUAUCUUUCGAGGAAACUCGGUUUUGAGGAUUGCCGUGCGUAAGCAGGCUUUCCUUGCACUUCCGGUCUAUGUUUUUAUAUACCCCUACACAUGUUUUAGAAUGUCAUUAAUGGGCUUAACUGCCUUUAAAUCUAUACAACUUUCAACAACGGAUCUCUUGGCUCUCGCAUCGAUGAAGAACGCAGCGAAAUGCGAUAAGUAAUGUGAAUUGCAGAAUUCAGUGAAUCAUCGAAUCUUUGAACGCACCUUGCGCUCCUUGGUAUUCCGAGGAGCAUGCCUGUUUGAGUGUCAUGAAAUUCUCAACCUUUUCAGCAUUUAUGUUGAUCAGGAUUGGAUGUGGGAGUUUGCGGGCUUCUCAGAAGUCGGCUCUCCUUAAAUACAUUAGCGGGACCUUUGUUGCCCAGCUUUAGUGUGAUAAUUAUCUACGCUAUCGUUGAGAGCGGCUUUUAAUGGGGUACAGCUUCUAAUGGUCUCAUUUGAGACAACUUCUGACAAUUUGACCUCAAAUCAGGUAGGACUACCCGCUGAACUUAAGCAUAUCAAUAAGCGGAGGAAAAGAAACUAACAAGGAUUCCCCUAGUAACUGCGAGUGAAGCGGGAAAAGCUCAAAUUUAAAAUCUGAUGGUCCUUGUGGCUAUCCGAGUUGUAAUCUAGAGAAGUGCUAUCCGCGCUGG
rnacentral:rRNA from 1 species